CACAGUAAAAGUCCUGUUUCCCCGCCACGCCCAGUGAAGGGCAUGGGGUUCCACAGAGGGAAAGGCCCGGCCGAGCCAGUACACGCGGUGAGGCGGACCGGACGGCCAGGCCCAAGGUUCAACUACGAGCUUUUUAACCACAACAACUUUAAUAUACGCUAUUGGAGCUGGAAUUACCGCGGCUGCUGGCACCAGACUUGCCCUCCAAUUGUUCCUCGUUAA
rnacentral:rRNA from 1 species